GACUCAAGACACCCCUCAUCCCCACCUCCUCUGGGCUGCUUUUAAUGUUCCAAAUGUAGACCCCUGGCUGCUGUAUGCCCCCUCCCCCAUUUGCCUCUGCUACAUCCCUUCCUCCUCUGCAUCACCUGGCUUGGGAGGAGCCCCAGGUGAGACCUCCUGCCAGCGUGAGUGGAGUUGGGGGUCCCCAGACAGGAUGGUCUGGGACAUUGUGGUCACUGCCACCCGUCUUUCCCACCCCAGGCAUCCUCCUGAAUCCAGGGCCCCCCUCCCACUCCAGCCCAGGCUGCCCGAAACUCCAGGGCGUCCUUUGCAGGGGCAAAAAGUGAAGGGCUCUUUAAACGGCUGUUUCCUCCUGGUGAGGAGGAAGCGCUCCCUAAAUGUGUCUAAAUCUGCGUUUAGGUCUCUUUGUAACAUCGUCUCAGGAGCAAGCAUCAGUGCUCCGUCGUGGCCCUCUGGUAAGGCAGGCAGGCAGCUCCAAGGGCAGAGCUGGUUCUUGACAGCCAUCCCUUCCCCAGGCCAGCAAGCUGCUCCUCCCUCCCUCUCUGAAAGAGGGUCUCCCAGAGAAAGAGCCCCGGUGGGUGGGGUGGCGGGGCUGAGGCAGCCCAGGGGCUCUGAACGCGCCACCCCAGGGCUCCACCGGCAUCUUACUCUGGGCCUCUCAGGUACCAGCAGGGGGGUGGGGUCCCCACACCCCUGCUUGCACUGGACCUGAGUGUCACAUAUCUGGUCUUGAGUGUGGGGACCACUGGAAUUUCUCUGGCCCCGAGGAAGCAGGCUGUCAUUCUUCCAGGGCACCAGCUUCCCCACCUUGUCUGUCCUGCCGUGUGACUCUGUGGCAGAGGUCUCCAGGAACUGUGAAACGUCACCCUAAGGAGCACUCUGGGCAUACCGCAGGUGACCCUAAUGCCACAGGCACUUGGGAUUUGGGGAGCACUCAGUCAACAGCAGUAACGAACGCCUGUCCCUUCCCAUAUGCCCAGGCUCCCACACCCAGGGCACACCCAGCCCCAACCCCAGGCUCCCCCCGGGAAUAUUUUCCUGGGUGGGCUGUACCAACGUGGUCAUCUCAUUUCUAAAUAGUUGUGGGCAUCUCAGGGCACUGUUUUCAAACCCUGACUUGAUAGCGUAAAGGUGUUCCACCCCCUUCCCCCAAAAUUGUCAGGGGUGGAGGGGCAGGAGCAGGAAGGAGGAUGAGAUGAAGAAGUGUUAUCACGUGGUUUCAAACCUAAGAAUACAACUCACAGGGGAAAGCAGCACUUGAAAUCAAAGUUAGGACUUGGAAGGUAAGCCUUACUUUUGUAAAUUUUUAAUGUGUGAAUAAUCACACUACUUUUGGCCUUUUACAAAGGAAAAUAUAUGGAAGAAGAGACCCUGGGAGCCCCAGUGAAGAGAUCCUUCGAGGAUUCGGUGUGGUUUAGCACCGAAGUCCCAGUGCGCUCUAGAGCCGGAAGCAGACCGGGGAAGGCAGCCUGCGCGGGCCACCUUCCUGCUGCUUGGGAUGCGCGCUCUCGGCACGAAGCCCCCCAGAGCUCAGCCCACCCAGCCCUUUGCCUGGGGGUGGGGUGGGAGGCACCCCUGGAGGAAGCCUUUUAAAUGACCUGUCCAAAGGGGGCUUAGGGGGGUUCAGACAGAGGUGUUCUGUAGGCCAGAUGGGACUAAAGAUACUUCCCUAGAGCAGCAAAAAGGUAAGCAAAUAAGUCAUUAUGUUAACACCCAACCCCAAACUUUGGCUUCAUGAACAAGGAGGAGGGGGUUGGGUCUCAUCUCCCUGGAGCCGAUAGCAGCUGGUGGGGCCCGGGAGGGGCUGCAGGGCGGGCUGCAGGUAGGGGCAGAGCCAGGAGAGGGGCCCCGGCUGGCUUUUAUACAGGUUGAUUUUAAUUGGCUUUGACUCUAAAAAUCCCAUGAAAUCCAGGAGCUAUACCUUGACCCAGAUGUCAAAAACUGAAGUCACGCUAUUGGAAAUGGCAGAGCGCCACCAUCCCUCCCGCCAGGCUAAGUUCACACAGCAAUUCCCAAGGCGGCUUCCCUUGGUUUGGAAAGAGAUGGAAAUGUGGGCAGAUGUCCUGUGAGCAGACAAGGGCACCCUGUGUCUGAGCCCCGGACGCACGCCCCAUGCCCAGGUCUCAGGCCCCCACCAGGACAGAGCUCGGCACUCGUACCAUACCCCGUGGUUGGGGCUUGCUUGCUGUAAUUGAGCACGCAGCCCCAACUGUGUUUGUCUCCAAUUGCUCCCGUCCGUCCAGACUCCGUCUGACUUUACCUUCCGAUCCCAGCAUCCUUUCUGCUGUCCCAUCCCAAGGACGCCCUUCAACACCUGCUUGAAGAAAUGAGGGAAAGAGGUAGUCGGCCCUUCCUCCAGAAGAUCAGAGAGCUGUGAGCACCCUGCAGGGUCUUUCUUGAGACUUUUUCUUUUAAUCCAUAAAUAUUUCUCUCUGAUUUCCUGAGGCUAAAUUGAACAAGGCAGACACAUCACAGGGUGACGAAUAUACGUUUGAACAGAUCCUCUAGGUUCUGAACUCCUGUAUCGACAGUUGAACUUGUCUCUGAGAAGAGAAUAUGAAUGUUUUGCUUACGGGCCAUUACUGGAAGAAAUGUACAAUUCCGUAGUUUUCUGACCCUGAUUCUACCAGAUAAAUAGGUUUCUUGGCGCUUGCUUCUGCCACGUCUCUGCACACUUUGAGCUCGUAAGACUAUUUUUCUUCCUACAAAGACUCGGACAUCAGCAAACACACCUGUGCUUGUAUGUACCUAACAUGUUCCACACAUGAGCUCACACAAUGUUCUCAGCACCCAGCAGGGCGACUGGGGGAAUGUCCUUAUCUAGUCACAGAGAAGGACACGACCUUUUGCACUCCAGCUGUUAGUAGGGAGACGGCGGAGAAGCCCCUCACCUGCUUCUUGGUUUGACAGCAUAACUCCUGUCUCGAGGUUGGAGCCGCCCACCCCAGGAGUGAGAUCAGGUUGUGACCUGUCACAGACACACUGCCAUCACUGAUGGGUGUGAUCUGCCAAGGGCCGGGAGAGUUUCAGAAGUGUGUCAGCACCACCCACCAUUUGCAAAAGUCGUGGGGAGCCAGAGUUGCACUCCGGCUUAGCUUUCAUGCAGGGGUCUCGGUGGCCCACCCAGCUGCGGCUGCAGCACUUGCAGGACCAUGGCAGGGCAGGAAAGGGGGGGCCACCUUCGGGAGGGAGGCGUGUUUCUGACUCCCUCUCCAUUAUGGGGCUGAGGGCCGAGGGAGGGUAAGCCUGGAGAAAACGAGGGAGCGCCAAACUUGCCGCCCCACUCAAACAAAACAACGAAAAAACCCCGUCUCCCCUGAAACACACAGCACACCUCAGAAAGGUCGGCCACCCCGUCACUCAGGUUCCACGUCAUCCAGGUGCUCACCUGGCUCCUGUCUCACGCGAGAUCAGCUCUAUUUAUAAAGGGGAGUGCGGCUUGGAGAGCAGGAAGUUGUUUCCUAGUCUGGGGCCAGCCCAGGUGGGCGUCUGGGUGCAGGCGCUGCUGGGUGCCCUUUGCCACCACAGGCCCGGGCUUUAAAACCAAGAGCACAGCAGACAGGAGUGUAGAGUGGUUCAAACACACACACACACAAACACACAAGUAGACGCAGCCUGGCUCCCUCUGCAACUUUGCGGGUACUGCCCCAGUCGUCCGUGUGUGAAGCUCCGUCAGCGGUGGGCCCUGAUUUAGGAGAAUUAAGCAUCCUCAAAGGCCCCAGGCAGAGCUGGGCAUCAGGGCGUCUUCACAGCACCAGUGACAGCGGCAACGAGCUGGGUGGAGCGACCCGAAUGUGUGUGGCCACGGAGACGGUUCGUUGUAGGAGGGGCCCUCCUUUCCUGUCUCCUCGCUGCAGCCUCUUCUGAGUGUUCAGUUUUGGCCAGAAAUCUUUGCACGAAAGGAAUCACCGUGUUCCUACAGGGCUGGCUCUCGUGCACAAGCCUCUGGGGUUUCCAGGCCUUCCCCAGCUGGAGGACGACUGUAGGAAAUUUCUAACCUUGUGGGCGUCCCUGCUUGGAUUUCCAUUUCAGGUCCAGACGCAGCUGCCUGUUGGGUUGUCCCCCCUGUGCUCGUGGAGAGAUGGGAGCAGCCACCCCCAGGAGACAAGUGCUCCACGGUAAAGAGAGCCCGAAACCGCCCACGGCCCCAGCUGCUCCCUCAACGUGGCGUCGGGUCAGACCGUGGGGGCCUCUCCACCAACUGCGAAAGGAGAAGGCUCUGGGCUCUCCCGUGAGCGUAGCUGGUCCAUAAAGUCCCAGGAGCCUCAGUACCUUGGGGGACGUAGCCGAGGCCUGGUGAGUGGAGAGACUGAGUUGACGUCACACAGAAGAGGCUGUGCCACCUGAGCCCCGCCCCUCCCAGGGCGUCUCCUUCGUCCCGACUGCAGGCGCCUUUCCCCCCCCCACUCAGCCCACCCCUGGGAGCCCUUCAACCCACCGACAGCGUCGUAAUCCACUGAGUGACCUCCUGGUCCGGAAGCCGGGGCCCAGCCCCAGGCCUGCCCCUCACACACCCCACACUGGAUUUUUAUUUUUCGAGUGGGCACCACUCCUAUGCUGACUCUGUUUGGGAACAGCGCCCCGUUCUGUUUGUGCUUUGGGCACCAAGGGUCUUGCUGUAGGUACUGUUAGCAAUUCCUGUGUGGGGCCCUGGGUCACUGUCCUUUCCUGUCCCCAAAGGCCACCUCUGGUCCCACCUCUCUGGAGCUCUGAGCUACUUUCUUGGACCAGGAAGCAGACGGAAGUGCUGCAGCUGCAGGGUCACGUGGUGACUCUGUGACUUGCUCCCCUCUGGUGUCACUUCCGCCAUCUCCUGCACAAGCCACCCAUCUGCCUCCGCAGGUGGCAUCCCUCCCUGCCUGUCCCACGAGCCCCUGAGUCCUCCUUCCUUCCUGGCGGCCCCUCAUCCCCUCCAGUGCCGCUCCUGGGGUCCCACCUGACCGUCUCCCUCUCCCCACCCACCACCACCUGGACACCGGCCGGACAGCUGACCUGGGUGUCCGGGUUUUACAUAACGGGUCCCUACUACAGUGGACACUUCCUGAGGCACCAGCAGGGACCCCUGCCUCCUGAAUUUCGAGUCACCCUGCUGCCCUGGGCAGUUCUCCCAUCGAGGGAAGAGGGUCCUGCCAGCUCCUCCACUCGCAACAGCCUGGAGCUUCCGACCCCACAGAGAGAGCUGCCCGAGGCUGCCGUACAGACCACGUGCUCCCUCGGGAAAGGCACAGAGGGCAAGGGAACGGGAGCCGGCCAGGAGCGGCUGGCGACAGAAUCACAGCACUGCCCCCCACCCAGAGCGCACCCUCCCCGUGCCCCCUCGGAUCCCGCCGCUGCACACACAGCAGAGAGACCAGGGGCUGGCUCGUAGCUUAGGGCCUCCUCUCCACUCCCCGCGGCUGGGCACGACUUUCACAGAACUGAGCAGGACAGUACGAAGGGCAGGGAGGGGACCCGGGACGACUUCCAAAUCGGUAGGCACUUUGGUGCGUUUCCUGGAUAAUUUUGGCCCUGAAGCCGAGCGGAGGGGGAGAAAAGGAGAUACGGGUGAACUGUGAGCGUGGCUCCUAAUCAGAUUGAUGCUGCUCACACCUCUUUUCUUUGUCAUACUCAUUUUUAGUAACAAAAUACAUGCCCCAAAGCUGUAAGACUCCCUACGUGAAAACAUUUUUAUUGGGGUAAAGUACAUAUCACAGAAAAGUCACCAUCUCACCUGUUUUAAGUGUACGGUUUAGUGGCAUUCACACUCACGUUGUUGCGCAACCAUGGCCACGCCCACCUACAGAAAGGUUUCUCUCCGGAACCCGAGGCGCUGCGCCCAUCGAACGCUAACUCCGCCUCCCCUUCCCCAGGACCGCCGCCCUUCCACUCCCUGUCUCUGUGGGUUUGGCUCCUGCAGGCGCCUCCCGUAAGCGAAUCACACAGCACGAGUCCCCCUGUCCAUGUCACCAAGCAUUCGUCCUCCAGGGUCAUCUCUGUUGCAGGGCGUGUCAGCACGUCCAUCUCUGAGGCUGGACACCGCUCUGUCCCGUGUGCAGACCACAGAGUCCUCCGCGAGUGGGCACCCCGGGCAGCCCCGUUCUGCCUGUUGUGCCAAGGGGCAGGACUACUCAGGAAGAAAAUCUCACACCGCCGAUGCCAGUCGGCACGAGGAAUCGAGUAACUAGCCAAAACAAGAAAUUUAGAAAGUUGCCUUCCAUGCCACAGACCUGCACACUAAGCAUCCUCCUCUCCAACUUCCCCCGCCGCUGCCUCCAGCUGCAGGGCUGCCUUUCCAGCCUCCCGGCCAAGUUCUUUCACUCUGUCAUUUCUUCCCUUAUUCACUCAACCCUUCUGCCAAAUGCACUUGGCCCCUUCCUUUUACAGGCUGCACGUUUAAUGGGAAGAGGUGGCUCGGCCGUGCACAAGCCCAGGGUGCACCUGGACGUCACUGGCUGCGAAUUCUGCAAGGGCAGGGCAGGUCCUGCCUCGCUCACUUUGCGUGGGGAGCUUGCCUGCCCUUCCUGCCUCGCUGGCAGAAGUAGGCGUGUGGCUGUGACUAUGGGAAUGGGGGUGGGGGCUGGCAGCGGGCUGCCCUCCCCCAGGGCUCUGUGGCUUCGGUCCCAUCAGAGGGUGAGCACCUCGUCAUCGAAAUGAGCUAGUCCGUCUUGUUGCAGCGCAAUCGGGAAGCAGAAAAUUCUGGGUGCUCUUUUCCCCCAUGACACGUCUCAUUUUCAGAACUCCUGGCUCCUGACAUUUCUGGCCAUUCUCGGAGCUUCGUCGCUUCCGGCGCUAAACAACAGCCUCUCUUCUGGGUCGGACAGUGUCCAGUCCUGUUUAACAUUAGGGCUCCAGGGGUCACUCACAAAUUCUCUCUCUCUUGGCUCAGGUCGGCCUCCGCCCAGAACAUCUGCACUGGGGUGGGGGUGAGGCCGUUUUCUGUGUGUUUUCUAGUCUCCCUGCUUCCCAAACACACAUGGACUGAUGGUUUUACUUUCAUCCUUCCAACCCUGUGUCUUUAAUUUUUUUAACCUCUCGUCAAUAUGAUUUGGAAGUCGUACCAGCCAGCACCUUGUCAGGUGUCUCCUCUAUGUCCCGUCCCUGCACGGCUCGUUUUUCCUGCAACUGAACCAGGAAUGGGACUAUUUAGCUUAGAAACCGCCAAACCGUCUUCCAAAGUGGCCGUGCCCUUCCCCAUCCCCACCAGCAGUGCCGAGGGCUCCGGUUGCUCUGCGCCCUCCGGAGCAGUCGCUGUUUUACGCAGUCUGCUACUCUGGCCUUCCUACCAGGGAGCACGUUCCCUGACUUCUCGGAUUCGGCAAUCUGAGAUGACUUCAGUGCGAAGGGGCACCUAAGGCUCACGGACGACACACCGAGGUUUAAUCUGCACUUUCUAACAUCUGAUGACGUCGAACACCUUUUCUGUGCUCCUUUGCCCUCCAUAGAUCCUCUUCAGUGAAGUGACUGUUCCAGUCAUUUGCCUAUUUUUUAAAAAAUAUUUUCUUAUUGUUGACGUUGAGAGCUCUGAAUAAAAGUCCCUUUUUGGGUGUGUGGUGUAGACACUUUCUCCUGGGGAGGAGCUCAUCAUUGCAUUCUCCUGGUAGCUGGUUUCACCCUUUGAGCUGAUUUUUAAAUAAAGACUAAAGAUGAGGAUCCCCUUUCUGCAUGUGGACAUCCGAUUGUGUUCACCCCAUUGUCAAAGAAGACAGUCUGGUUUCCUCUGAAUUGCUUUUCUGCCUUUGUCAAAAACUCACUUGGCAUAUUACAUGGGUCGAUUUCUAGACUCUAUCCUGUUCCAUUUCUAUGCACUCAUUCCUUUGCCAGUAUACACUGUUCCGAGACUGUUGUUUUGUAACAAAUAAUAAAACAGGACAUGUGAUUCCUUCAA